GACGAACGCUGGCGGCGUGCUUAACACAUGCAAGUCGAACGGAAAGGCCCUGCUUUUGUGGGGUGCUCGAGUGGCGAACGGGUGAGUAACACGUGAGUAACCUGCCCUUGACUUUGGGAUAACUUCAGGAAACUGGGGCUAAUACCGGAUAGGAGCUCCUGCUGCAUGGUGGGGGUUGGAAGGUUUCGGCGGUUGGGGAUGGACUCGCGGCUUAUCAGCUUGUUGGUGGGGUAGUGGCUUACCAAGGCUUUGACGGGUAGCCGGCCUGAGAGGGUGACCGGCCACAUUGGGACUGAGAUACGGCCCAGACUCCUACGGGAGGCAGCAGUGGGGAAUAUUGCACAAUGGGCGGAAGCCUGAUGCAGCAACGCCGCGUGCGGGAUGACGGCCUUCGGGUUGUAAACCGCUUUCGCCUGUGACGAGGCGUGAGUGACGGUAAUGGGUAAAGAAGCACCGGCUAACUACGUG
rnacentral:rRNA from 1 species